UCGUAAAUAAUUUCUGCUCAAAAGUGAAAAAGAAAUGAAAAUAAUGUGUGCUUUCUAUAUUUUUUUAAAAAACUGUUAAGUAAAAACUGUUUUUCAAAACAACCAAACAGCAACAGGUGUAAUAAUAAAUCUGAAAAUUGAUUUUUUUUCAUAAAGUAUCCCAAAAAUCAGUUUUCUAAAACAGUUCUCCAUACAAGUGUCAUUCCCUAAACAGUUUUGUGUUUUCAGAAAACUCAAAACAGAGCAUACUCUGUUCAACAAAAAAAAAAAUAGCAUUUAUAGAUAAAUCACAAUUCUCAUAUUUGAUCCACUGAUUAUAAAUGCACACAUACCAAAUACGCCCUGAAAACAGAUUGAAUCUUUAUUGCAGCAGCCUCUUCAAUACCGGGGGUGGUGGGCGGCCGCUGCCCCCGUGGAACCGUUUUGUGAUUCUACCCCGCCUGUGCGGCGGUGGAGCAGCGGCGGCGGCCGACGAUCUCUGGAAACCCCACAACGCUUCUCUUUUGGGAGCCGCAGUUGCGGACCCGAAAUUGGGGUUGUGGCGGGCGAAUGAAAUGGACUUUUUGGUCAGUGGUUUCUUCUCUCCUCCUUUCUCCUGUCUUUGUUUAUGUUAAGAAAUUUCUAUCAACUUGGUUGUCUUCCCCACUCUCGCCUCGAUGUGAGUUGAGUAGCUCUCAGCAAUAAUAUGGUGUUUGAUAUGAUUUGUUUCGGUGGAUUUUACCAAAACUAAGGCUCCGUUUGUUAUAGAAAUUUUGGGGUUUUUUUAAGAGAUUUGUCAAACUAUAAAAACUUUAUUUUUUUUACCUUUUAUUAAAUCUGAUAAUAAUAAGAACAAGACUUUUUGAUUGGAGAUAUUUUGAAACCAACUUCCACCGUUGCUUGGAGUUUUUUGGUGAUGAGAAAAGAUACUCACAUACGCAUUUACGACACGUAUUUAGACAAACCUAUUCGAGUGACUAGAGCAUUCGGAAAAUAAAAUAAAAAUAAAUGAAUCUCAUACGUUUUAUGUGAAAAAAUUUAUACAAAUAUAUUUAUAAAAAAUAUGUAUUGAUAGCAUAAUUUUUUGGUGAUUUGGGAUGGAUCAAAAACCAUGUGAAAUUGAGUCAGAUUUCGUGUAGAAUACUCAAGUCAGGGUGGUCUGAUUUGGGUCAUGGUUUUCAGUAACUGCUUGGGAAUCGCACAAAACACUCUGGGGGUCCACAAACUAGGGGAAUAACCCUAUGAAUAGGGGUUGAAGCCUAAUUCAGGCUUGUACUUCUGUAUGGUCUUCUCACUUCUUACCCAACUGUAGGAUUCUUUGAUUUCUGUCACCCAAAAAUUCUCAAAACCCCUUUACACUCAGUCCUUGAUCUACUUUGGAGAUUUGGUGUGAUUACAUUUUCAUGAUACUUAACAAAUUUCUGCUUCAAUUUUUUUAAAAUCAUACAUUAGAAUCGCAUUAAUUGGAUUCCAGGGAGGAUAUAGGGAGAAAACCACUGGUUGGUUCUAGUGAAAAGUAUGGAAUUUCAUAUUUGGGUUCUCAGUUCAAAUAUCUUUAAGUUAAUCGUUUGGUUAUUUUUAUUGUAUUUUAAUAAAAAGAUUGGCAGACGAUCUCCUGAACGAACUGUAUCGUGGGUUAAUGUCACUGUUGAAUUCAUAUUCUCACUAAAAGCUUUCUGUUUUAUUUUCUUAAACUAUUAUAUCUAUCUUAUUUACCAAAAGUAACCUCAUUAGAGUUUGGUUUUCACAAGCUUUGGUACCCAUGUGGAGGAGGCAGACAAUGGUUUGCGAUGAAUAGUAUCUGAUAGCUGUUGGUGAAUAGACAGGGUUAUUAAUGACCACUGUGCAAGUUUUAAUUCUUGUGGAUUUGUUCAGCAUAUAUUGCGGUCAUUUGCAUGCAUUAUAGGAGGGCCCAAUGUCCAUAUGGUAUUGAUUUGAGUCUAUUGACUAGCUGACUUUUACUGGUAGGGGCCAUAUUGGUAUUGACUAGCUUGCUUUAAUUUUUUUAGGACCCAUGAAAGAAACUCUAACCCAGCUUCAUAAUAACAUGUAGCCAUAUUUGGUUGCAGCAAGGGUUACCGUAUUGUCCCAAUUCAUAAUCUUAACCCUGAGUUAGUUAUAAUGAGUAACACUUGGAUUUCAACUCUCAAAUUUCAAGUUCGAAUCUCCUAGGAGUCAGCCAUCUGAAAAAUUUAGUACAAAAAUUAGUAGGCGAGCCUCUUAUGCGGAGAACCAUAACUAAUGUCAGGAGUAAGAGUACGAAUUCGCGUCACUAUCAAUGUAUAUGGAUUGAAUGGAGGGCUAGUAUUUAUCACCAACCAAUAGGUCACCCCCAAGGGUAGCUUCCUUUUUAGGUGUUAAUCGGACCCGACGGGUGAAUCAGGUUCCUCUGCUUAUCCAACACCGCCUACAUACUGCCGGUCUCAAUUCAUCCCAUUUGUCAUGGGUAGGGCAUGAGUUCGGGCUCCAAAACUCGAAGACCACUUGAUGACCGGCCAAAAGAAUUAUGCCCGAAAGGCGUCCCAUCUGAAGCUCGUCCCCAAAGCCCCGAAAUUUGAAAAUAAAAUAAAGACUUAAAUCUAAUGGCUACAAUGUAAAAAAAAAAGCAUUCCUAUAUAAAAAAAUUCAGGCUCAAGCCCAAAGCCCGAAUACCCUAAGGCUGUGGUUAAGGGCCUGGUAUGGAAAUUAAACAAAUGUGCUGAGCCAAGCCCGAAUCCAACUUUUGGCAGAAAUAUGACGGGCUGCAGCCGUGCUCUUGUCAGGCCUGCUAAACUUACACUCGUAGUUGUAGCUUUAAAGUGGGGAUGCAUACUGAGACCCUGGAAAGUAGGUUUUUUCAUUAGAUGGUAGACAGAUUUUUUAGAGUUUACAUUUUAUCCUUGUGACGAUUUAGAGACUUUUUUAAAAAUUGUUUAUUGUCAACUGACAGUAAGGUAAAUUUAGGCAUAAAAAACUAAAAUAAUUUUUUAAAAAGAGUAUAAUCCACUAAUUUUGUAAUACAGAUAGAUAUAUAGAUAGAUGCUAUUCUAAAGAGUUGCUAUGAACUGAGGUUCAAAAUAAAUCUCAUAUAAACCUAUUUCUAAAUACGAACAUGUCCUAGUUUAAAGAUUAAUUUUAUCUCAAUGCAAACCACUUAUUCCCAACUCUACCCCAUCUUCUUCUCCUGUUGUUCUCAAACCUUAGGUAUACAACCACCAUCCUCCUCCACCUCCACCACCAUAGCCACCCAUCCCCAACCUUAACCAUGCUUUCCCACCACACGUUCGGCUUAGAAUUAACAAUAUAUUUGAUUAGGAAUUGUUAAUUUGCAGAGAGCCACCCAAUCCACGACUCUUUUCUUAUCGAAACAAGAAAAAAAAUGAUCAAAAGGCCUAAUUACCUUGGGAUUCUCUGCGCCUUUCACGGCAUCGAAACCACUGACGCCCUUUCUCUUCCUGUGAUGCAUCUCAUAAAGAGAUUUAAAAAAAAAAAAAAAAAACAAGGGAUUGCGCCGUUGGAGGACCCAAAUCCCCGAUUCUGUUACACCCACUUUCAUGAAGGUAAGCACAAAGCCAAAUUGGCACGAAUGUUUCAGCCAGGAGGACAAUUUGGUCGCUGACAAUGAGGGGAAGCACGCAGUUGGUAGAGCUAUGAGCUCCAUAAUUGGUAGCGUAGACGGCCUCGUAGACGGGGGUGAGGAGAAUGGCUGGUUAGGAGCUAGCGGAAGAGGGCAAGGUGGUAGUCCCAACUUUUCUGUCCUCAGAAACUUAUCCUUGAUUAAAUCUUGCUAUUGUAUAAUCUUUAGUACUUACUCUUCUGGCCACGUGUACUUUUUUUUUUUUUAAUUAGUAUCACGAUUACACAUGACACAGAUUAACACGAGACAAGAUUUUUGUACACGGACGUGGGAAAGGGCCAAAUCCAAACCCGAUUUGUGGUGGUGCCUUACGGGAGGUGGGAUGACGUGGUGGUUUUGUUUGGGAGGUGGAUGGUGUCCCCGCAAACGAUUAUGUUUUUAAUUGUAAUUUUAUUUAAUGUUAGAAUUGUAAUAAAAAAAUUGACCAAAUUGGUUAGCAUAUAGAAGCUCCGGAUUGUAGCUUAGGCCAUUUCUGAUAUAACUUUUAUUUUUUAUCUACAUAGUAAAAUAAUUGCGUCAAUAGCAAACUUAACCUACCAUUAAGUAAACGCCCCAAACGUAAAUCUUAUGUUCUUAUCAAAAGUUUUGUUCUUAAUUUUUCUUUAUUUUAUUUUCUAAAUCAUGUAUUAGGAUUCAAAACAAUUUCUAACGAAGCAUGUUCAGUCAUCCAAGAUCCCCAACUAAUUUCAGUAAUGGGAUGCUGUCACUAAUUCCAUUCAUCAGUAAGAUGGCACUUUGGUUUUGCAAGUAUGGUUGUUUUUUUCGAUCCCUGAGUUGUGAAAAACAUUUCAGAACACAAAUAGUUUACUAUAAUGAAGGGCUAGCCCACCUCUAUGGGCACCGGCAUAGUGGCCCCGCUAAGCCUGCCAUAUCGAGUCCCAUUUUUAUAUACUCGGGAUUACUAUUUAUAUCCAUUGAAAUGGGUCGGGUUCAUUUUUUAGGUUCAGUUAUGUAUUAAUUUGAGCUUGAGAAUUUAAUUUGUAGUCUCAAUUGUCGCCUGCCCUGAUUAUCGAAUAUAUAGAGUAGGUAUUUUACAAUACUCGUAUUAUUUAUGUAAUUGUUUAAAAGAUUAAAGAAAAAAGAAUAAUUCAAGAAACAGUGGUACUAUAGAAUAUAAAUGGUAUAUAUUUAUACUGUUUGAUGACUUUGAAUUUAUUCUAAGGUACCGUAGAGUAUAGAAUAUAAAGAGCAUACUCAAUUUGAAAGGGACAAUCAUUUGUUUAAUGGUAUAUGUGUUUUGGGGUAUUUUUCUUUUUCUUUUUUUUUUUUAAAAUAAAAACUAGUUUGUUUGUUUGUCUAGUAAAUCAUUUAUUGGAUAGAAAAAAUUCAAACAAAAAUAUCCAAAUGGAUAGAAAAAAACUUAUCCCAAUCAAAGUAAAAAAAAAAAAAAAAAACAGAAUUUGACUUUGGUGACAAAUUAAAAUAUAAAUUUUAAAUUUUAAAAAAUUAAAUCCUAAACCUUUUAAUUUAUAACAACUUGAACCCUACUCACUUGCCCUAACAGUUUGAAGAAAAUAAUUGGUUAUUGCAAAAAUAAUUGGGGAAGCGACAUUUUACUAAUUAAGACCCUUUUAAAAGUCCUAAUUCCCAUAAAUAUAUUAUAGAACAUGAAUCCAAGUAAAAUUUAAAGAGAGAAACAAAGAAAUCGGGUAAAGCAAAUGCUGAAUAAUUUAAAGCAGAAAUAAGAAUCUAAGGCCAUGUUAAUUUUUAAUUUGAUGGAAUAACCAAUCUAAUCUCAAUCUCCUUGAAUUAAUAGUCUCAUAAAAUUGGAUUAGUAAUAACAACCUCCCAUAAGAUUCUUAAUUCUUUAUUUUUUAGGAAUUAACAGUCUCAAUGGACCACUAUUAGUUUGAAAUUUAUUUUUUACACUGAAACAUGGUUAAAAUGAAAUCCCACAAGAAAAAAUAGUUAAAUCCAACCCUCAUAUAUAUAUGUUAUUAAAUGUAGCCUAAAGGUUCUGAAAUCUCGAUAAGUGUUUUAAUACUUUUGUCAUUGUUCCAUUGGUCAUUUCUCCAAUCUUUCGCGUUGUUGCGUCAAGUUUAAGACUCGUAUCGAGUUUGAAUUGUGGGGAGGGUUUAAAAGUCAAUAUUUAUUUGUUUCAAAUAAAAAUUUAGAGCUAAUGACCUAAUUUUUUACUAGUCAAAUUCUAGACUAUAUGUUUAAUUUGUCAAAUUUCAAAAAACUACUAAUAAAUACCAGAUCCCCACGAGUCCAUAAGAUUGGAGUUCAAACUUCCACUUCCCACUCCCACUUGACCUUUUUAAGACGAAUUAAUCUCAGCCACGUUUAAGUCUUUCAAGCACCGUCCAUCAACAGCUUCUCGCCCCAUCUCUCUUUCUCUCUCUCUCUAACAUGGGCCGCGGCUACUGCUACAGUAUAGCCGCUAUACUUGCAAACCUCCUUCUCUUCUACAACCUUGGACUGCCCAUCAACAUUCUCUCUCCUAUUCCUAUCCCCCUGUUUCUGGUUUUGUUUUUGCUUUCUUAUACCCUUUAGAUUCUUCUCUUCUCUGGCUUUUGUCAAAAUCUUUCUUUCUUUUGACUUUUUGGCUUUUAUCUCUUCAAUAUUGUUGAUUGAUUUCCAAAACCCCAUGAUGGGUUUGGGGAUUUAUGGAUCCUUUUGUCAAAUUGGGUUUUGAUUUGAUUUUUGGAAAUCAUGAUUAAUUUGGGGGAAUUUUAGAGAGUUUUGAUCAGAUUGGGUUUUUGGGUUCGUUUUACGACUUUGCACCCCUGCACUUUUUACCAUUUUUUUUUUUUCCUUUGAACUUUCCAUUCAUUCACUUCUCUUAUUAUUGUAUCACGUAAAUCUCUUAAUUUUAGGGGCAGUUCCAUGUCAAUUGUAAUAAUUUUGUCCGAGACCUGUUUCAUUAAGGAAGAGGGCCACAACUGGCCUAUUUUUUUAAGUAUUUCCGUCACUUAUUGAACAAACACAGAUACUGCACUCAAACAACCUGACGUGUUAACUGUAAACGUUUCAGAGGUGCAAGUUAAUUAAUCCUUUUUUUUUCUGUUUUGGGAAUUUUUCAUAGAUGUGUUGCAAGGAAGUGGAAUGUGGAAGGGGGACUUUCAAGCCUUCACUAAACAGUACAUUGUUAUUUUGUGUGUUAAUGGAAUAUUGGGGUUUGAAGAAACUCGGAACUAAACUAACCUAACUAACUCACUCCGAACUCUCGCCUCUCCCUGACCAUGACCAGAUUUUCAUCAAGUUUCUCCUUCCCUUGUGUCCAUUCCCAACUGUGAGCUCUCUCCUCGUCCUCUCUCUCUCCUCUCCUCUCUCCUCCUCGUCUCUCUUCCUGCUUUAGUAUUUGUUUCAUUAGUGGAUCCCCUCUUCUUUUCAUUGAACAAUCUGACAAUCAAUUGAUUCAGUUAGUGUCGUGUCCACAUGGUCAAUAUUUUUACUUAAAUUAGUUUUUGAAUUUGAGACUUGUCUUCUUCCCGGUACUGAUUCUGUUUAAACCGCUGUUCUAAAAAAAUCGGCCGCCUAGACGAAGUCUAGGGCGCUGACCCCCGGCCCGACCACCCGCCAUUUUACUUAUCGUCACUACUAAGCGCUUUUUAGAGACCUAAUUUGUCAUUUCUAUGUAUUUUAAGAGACUUAAAUUAUCAUUUCUAAUCUUCCUCUUAGUAUUAUUCAAACUACAUAGUUAAACUCUACGAUUUUCAUGUCAUUUUUUUUGUUAGAUAUUUAAUAUUUAGGUCAGUAUUAUUAUUUUAGAGUACAUAUUAAAUUGUUCAACUAAAUCAAUAAAAAAACGCCUAGGCCGCUAGGAGGGCCCUCGGCCGCCCCCUUACCCACCGCCUAUCUCUUAUUUUUAGAACACUGAUGUUACGUCGUGAAGCUUGAUAUUACUGCUUACCAAACUCGUGGUUGGUAUUUGUAAGGGUAUUUUGGUAAUUUUAUAUAGG
rnacentral:lncRNA from 1 species